rnacentral:rRNA from 1 species
UACAGAGGGUGCAAGCGUUAAUCGGAAUUACUGGGCGUAAAGCGUGCGUAGACGGUUAUGUAAGUCAGAUGUGAAAGCCCCGGGCUCAACCUGGGAAUUGCAUUUGAGACUGCAUAGCUAGGGUGCGGAAGAGGGAAGCGGAAUUUCCGGUGUAGCGGUGAAAUGCGUAGAUAUCGGAAGGAACACCAGUGGCGAAAGCGGCUUCCUGUCCAGCACCGACGUCAGGCACGAAAGCGUGGGGAGCAAACAGG